rnacentral:tRNA from 1 species
AGUGCGUUGGCCCAGGGCGCAGCGUUGGCGUUGUUGCCGAUGGCCUUUGCCCAGUGGUUCGGCAACACCACGCCCUG